CAUGCAACUUGCAUUCCAUUAAUUGUUUGUUUAUAUAUUGUGUGUUCAUAAUUUUUAUUUUAUUAUUCAUGGAUGAUAAACCAUGCAAAAAAAAAAGUUGUUUUCUUUAUAUUAAAAUAUUAUAAUGGAAAAACAGAGAUAAAGAUGCAUUUAGCACACUGCACAGUAGGCCUACAAACAGUAAAUACUUUUCUCUAUAUUUGCAUCUACUCUAGUUCCAAAGCAGUAGGUAAUAGGCCCACCUGACUAUUGACUUUCAUCCUGAUUGUGAACCUACUCAAACUGAGGUUGAAAGAAUUGAGAUGUGGGAUAAAUCUGUGAAACAAAAUUACAAGCCAGGAAAACGUGCAAGCAGUGCGUAAGCUCGCUAUUCAACAUCAAUGAUGAAAGAUACGACCAGCAUUGGAAGAGCUGCAGUCCUGUGAUGAUCCAAAUGGGCAACAGUUGGCUGGCUGUAAGUGUCAUUUAGUCUUUAAGUGGACAGAUGAAAAAUUUGAAAAAGUCAACUACUGCCGCUAUAGUCAUUUGAAAGGAAUUACUAUGAAGGAGAUGAGACAAUUUAUGCCACUAAAUCCACCCAGCAGCCCUCAGCAAGGCAGAAACCCUUGGGGGUCACACAUAGGC